GCGCCUAACACAUGCAAGUCGCACGAGAAAGCGGGAGCAAUCUCGCAAGUAAAGUGGCGUACGGGUGAGUAACACGUGGAUUAUCUACCCUGGAGUGGGGAAUAACGCUGGGAAACCGGCGCUAAUACCGCAUAUUCCCGAGAGGGGAAAGCAGCAAUGCGCUCGAGGAGGAGUCCGCGGCCGAUUAGCUAGUUGGCAGGCUAAAAGCCUACCAAGGCUGUGAUCGGUAGCCGGCCUGAGAGGGCACACGGCCACACUGGCACUGAAACACGGGCCAG
rnacentral:rRNA from 1 species